UGGUCAUCCAACGAAUCGGAGUGAAUGAGGGUCGGGGCUUGUCUUGUGACCGAAGCAUGCGCAGUGAGGGUAAUGGCGAGAGAGAAAAAGAGAGGCGUUUCUUUCUCGGAUCCGCAAUCGGGUAUUAGAAGAAGAUUUUCAGACAAGAAACUCAAACCAAGCAUCACAUCAACAUCUGAAAGAAUCAGAAAUUCAUCAGGACCUGGAUGUUAUCAGCCUUUGAAUUCGUGAACCUCAAGCCAAACAUCACAUCAGGAGCUGACAGUCGCCCAAUUUAUCAUAACUGGAAUAUCAUCAGCCUUUGAACAUGGAAGGAAAAAGCACCGUUCACAUCGCGGAGAAACUGUACACGUGUUCUGUGUGUGGACGAGGUUUCAGACAAUCAACAAGCCUGUCAAGACACAAGCGCAGUCACACUGGGGAGAAACUGUGGACAUGUGGGGACUGUGGGAAGAGAUUCAAUUACCCAUCUGACCUGGAAACUCAUCGACGCAGUCACACUGGGGAGAGGUCAUUCACCUGCUCU